rnacentral:tRNA from 1 species
CCGGGCGUAGUCUCCGUUGGUAGAGCGAUUGACUGUAGUGGUGUGAAAAUAUCGUGCCACUGCGAUAUCCUCAGAAAACAUCAUUGGUCACCAGUUCGAUUCUGGUUCGCCACGGA